ensembl:lncRNA
UCUCUCUCUGCUCAUCAUGCUUCGACUUUGAAGUCACUGCUUUCUCUUUCUCUUUUUUGGUCUUUGAUUCAAUAACAUUCUGUGCAUAGUUCCUGUAAUGCCUGGAUCCUUGUGCCUUUAUUUUUUCUUCCUCUGCCAGUGCAGGAACGACCAGACACGUGAAGAAACAGGCCGCCUCCUAUUGGCUCCGCCUGACACAGCCAUGGACGGGAUGGGAUCCUGGAAGCGGGGGCCGGAUGAUUGGGAGGUUUGGCUGAGGUGACAAAGAGCUGAUCGAUCCCCGGCUGCAGGAGGCCGAGCCGGGGGAACAGGCUCCAAAAGCCUGACUGUCACGCACACUGCAUACACAGGUACAUAAAAAACAUAAGGCCCACGCGGAGGGACAAUCCGCUCUGGCCU